rnacentral:ncRNA from 2 species
GCCAGACGCCGUGGUGAUUUGUUUCCGGAUUGCAGGCCACGUAAAACAUUCUGCUAAAAAGGUGGCGGGUUUCAUAGC